CAUAUGAGCAAGGUGUGUGUGUGUGUGUGUGUGUGUGUGUGUGUAUAUAUAUAUAUGUACACACACACACACAUCCCUACCUUGCUCAUAUG
rnacentral:miRNA from 1 species